rnacentral:rRNA from 1 species
UACGUAGGGUGCGAGCGUUAAUCGGAAUUACUGGGCGUAAAGCGUGCGCAGGCGGUUUGUUAAGUCCGCUGUGAAAGCCCCGGGCUCAACCUGGGAUUGGCAGUGGAAACUAGCGAGCUAGAGUGUGGCAGAGGGGGGUGGAAUUCCACGUGUAGCAGUGAAAUGCGUAGAGAUGUGGAGGAACACCAAUGGCGAAGGCAGCCCCCUGGGUUGACACUGACGCUCAGGCACGAAAGCGUGGGGAGCAAACAGG